AGAGUUUGAUCCUGGCUCAGAUUGAACGCUGGCGGCAGGCCUAACACAUGCAAGUCGAACGGUAACAGGAAACAGCUUGCUGUUUCGCUGACGAGUGGCGGACGGGUGAGUAAUGUCUGGGAAACUGCCUGAUGGAGGGGGAUAACUACUGGAAACGGUAGCUAAUACCGCAUAACGUCGCAAGACCAAAGAGGGGGACCUUCGGGCCUCUUGCCAUCAGAUGUGCCCAGAUGGGAUUAGCUAGUAGGUGGGGUAACGGCUCACCUAGGCGACGAUCCCUAGCUGGUCUGAGAGGAUGACCAGCCACACUGGAACUGAGACACGGUCCAGACUCCUACGGGAGGCAGCAGUGGGGAAUAUUGCACAAUGGGCGCAAGCCUGAUGCAGCCAUGCCGCGUGUAUGAAGAAGGCCUUCGGGUUGUAAAGUACUUUCAGCGGGGAGGAAGGGAGUAAAGUUAAUACCUUUGCUCAUUGACGUUACCCGCAGAAGAAGCMCCGGCUAACUCCGUGCCAGCAGSSGCGGUAAUAC
rnacentral:rRNA from 1 species